rnacentral:rRNA from 1 species
GGGCGGGUAGUGGCGAACGGGUGAGUAACGCAUUGGUAACCUGCCCCUAAGACAGGAAUAACCCCGCGAAAGCGGGGCUAAUACCUGAUGGCCUCUCUUUGGCCUAGGUCGAAGAGAGUAAAGGAUGAGAGCAAUCUUAUCUGCUUGGGGAUGGGCCUAUGUCUGAUUAGCCUGUUGGUAGGGUAACGGCCUACCAAAGCUACAAUCAGUAGCGGGGAUGGAAGUCUGAUCCGCCUCACUGGGACUGAGACACUGCCCAGACUCCUACGGGAGGCUGCAGUCGAGAAUCUUCCUCAAUGGCCGCAAGGCUGAAGGAGCGACGCCGCGUGCUUGAAGAAGCCCUUCGGGGUGUAAAGAGCUUUUGCAAGGGAAGAAACUUCGGUUGACGGUACCUUGCGAAUAAGGACCUCCUAAUUUCGUGCCAGCAGGAGCGGUGAUACGAAAGGUCCGAGCGUUAUCCGGAUUCACUGGGCGUAAAGCGUCCGCAGGUGGCUGGAAAAGUUUCUGGUUAAAUUUCAGGGCUUAACCCUGGAGCUGCCGGAAAAACUUUUCAGCUAGAGGAUGGGAGAGGCGAGUGGAAUGGCUGGUGUAGGAGUUAAAUCCGUUGAUAUCAGCUAGAACGCCAAAGGCGAAAGCAGCUCGCUGGAACACUCCUGACACUCAUGGACGAAAGCGUGGGGAGCGAAUGGGAUUAGAUACCCCAGUAGUCCACGCCGUAAACGAUGGAUACUUGACAUUGGCAGUUUCGACCCUGCCAGUGUCGCUCUAAACAAGCUAACGCCUUAAGUAUCCCGCCUGGGUAGUACGAGCGCAAGCUUAAAACUCAAAGGAAUAGACGGGGACCCGCACAAGCGGUGGAGCAUGUGGUUCAAUUCGACGGUAAGCGAGGAACCUUACCAGGGCUUGACAUCUGGCUUAUGUCUAACUUUAAUCAGAUAGUCCUAACGGCCAAGACAGGUGCUGCAUGGUUGUCGUUAGCAUGUGCCGUGAGGUGCACCGUUAAUUCGGGUAACAUGCGCAACCCUCACCCUGAUUUACUUUUCAUCAGGGAACUGCUCCGGAUAACGGAGAGGAAGGUGGGGAUGACGUCAAAUCAGCAUGGUCCUUACGCCCUGGGCUACACACGUGCUACAAUGGCUGCUACAAUGGGUUGCCAAGCCGCAAGGCGGAGCUAAUCCCACCAAAGGCAGUCUUAGUUCGGAUUGAGGUCUGCAACUCGACCUCAUGAAGCUGGAAUCGCUAGUAACCGCAGAUCAGCCUCGCUGCGGUGAAUACGUUCUCGGGUCUUGUACUCACCGCCCGUCACGUCAAGGGAGCCGGUAAUACCCGAAUUCCGAGUUACUCGGGAGAAGGUAAGAUUGGUGACAGGGACGAAGUCGUAACAAGGCA